rfam:Cryptococcus bestiolae CBS 10118 unplaced genomic scaffold supercont1.10, whole genome shotgun sequence.
AUCUACGGCCAUAGAAGCUGGAAAACACCGCGUCCCGUUAGUUCCGCGAAGUGAAUCUGGCUGUCGCUCGAUUAGUACCAAUGUGGGGGACCAUUUGGGAAUCCCGAGUGCUGUAGUUU